rnacentral:rRNA from 1 species
GACGGUCUAGCGAGCCCAACCUCCCACCCGUGUUUACUGUACCUUAGUUGCUUCGGCGGGCCCGCCAUUCAUGGCCGCCGGGGGCUCUCAGCCCCGGGCCCGCGCCCGCCGGAGACACCACGAACUCUGUCUGAUCUAGUGAAGUCUGAGUUGAUUGUAUCGCAAUCAGUUAAAACUUUCAACAAUGGAUCUCUUGGUUCCGGCAUCGAUGAAGAACGCAGCGAAAUGCGAUAACUAGUGUGAAUUGCAGAAUUCCGUGAAUCAUCGAGUCUUUGAACGCACAUUGCGCCCCCUGGUAUUCCGGGGGGCAUGCCUGUCCGAGCGUCAUUGCUGCCCAUCAAGCACGGCUUGUGUGUUGGGUCGUCGUCCCCUCUCCGGGGGGGACGGGCCCCAAAGGCAGCGGCGGCACCGCGUCCGAUCCUCGAGCGUAUGGGGCUUUGUCACCCGCUCUGUAGGCCCGGCCGGCGCUUGCCGAACGCAAAUCAAUCUUUUUCCAGGUUGACCUCGGAUCAGGUAGGGAUACCCGCUGAACUUAAGCAUAUCAAUAAGUAGG